CCUCAAUUAUUAAAAUUUAAGCAACCUCACUUCAUUUUUAAACUUUUUGUUUUUAUAAUUCAAAACCCCGUGUAAGCAAAUAUACAGGCAAACGUAUUUGGUAAUAGGUAAAAGAAUUGGAGAAUCGUCACUUGGAGGAUGGGGAAAUCGCAGCAAACACAGAGUGUUAUUGAAGCAGUACCGCUUCUGGUGGUGGUACUUAUCGGUGCCCAUGUCCUCGCUUUGGUGUACUGGAUUUAUCGGCUCGCUAAUCAGAAGCAGCCACAGAGACUUAAAAAACACUAGCAUUCACUUCGUUAUUUUGAGAAGUUCAGUUGAAUGGGGCAAUUUGUUUUGUAUAUUUUCUUAUAGACUGAUUGUUUUAUCCUUCAAUUUGUACUGUCGUGACAAUUCUUUUUAAUACAAUUUUGCCUUUUAUUAUUGUUGGGUAA